UACUGUGCCCUCCUAUCCAUGG
rnacentral:miRNA from 1 species